rnacentral:tRNA from 1 species
GUCCCCUUCGUCUAGCGGUUAGGACACCGGGUUUUCAUCCCGGCAACAGGGGUUCGAUUCCCCUAGGGGAUG